UGAAGCAUCGAAUGCUGCGAUGAAAC
rnacentral:piRNA from 1 species